AGUCUCAAAUUGAAGGACAAUUGUCCCAUCCUUUAGAAUUGCAGGGUUGUCAAGCUCUUUCACAAUGGCAUACUUCCUAGCCUUCUCACUAACAAGAAGGCCAUAUUCAUCAUGACCCUCACUCUUUGCGUGCUUCCAUACACCUAAACCAAAAUAGAACAUCAACAUACACUUCCAACAUCAGCGUACCGGAAAAAAAUGCCGAUCCUGGUUUUUAAAUCAGACCAAAUGGUGGUUCAACUUCAGAAUCUGAAGCCAACUAAACAAAAUCUCAAAUAUCUACCCACAGAAUCAUCAUUCAAAUGGUAAGUGCG
rnacentral:misc_RNA from 1 species